rnacentral:lncRNA from 1 species
AAGCCCACCAAGUGUCACUGAAAUGCUUCUACAAAUGACACAUUAUACAGACUGCUAACUUACAAGUGUUUGUUACAUAUAGAUGCAUGUUCCUUGAUGUCAACUGAGUGCUGGGUACUCUCCCGCAAAAAAUAAAUAUAUAACAAGUGAGUGCUGCGCUACUGCAUAUAAUUGUGUUCUUAUUUCAGUUUCAUGUAAUAUUGUUUGGUUUGGGUACCGUCACUGUGAAAUUGUCAAUUCUAAACUUGUAUUUAUUCCUCUACUGUAGGAGAUUUAUACUGUCAUUUGAUUAGCCCCUGGUGUGGAAUCAGAAGGUCACACAUUUUUUUUUGAGUUGAAUGGCUGCCCGGCUGUGUACGUAUGCACCAGAACAGAGCAUGGAAUGAAGGGGACAGCCAGGGAGUUAUCAUGGUGAGUUAUAUGUGCUUUAACAUCCCUUCUUGUUACUUGAUUCUUUGAUAAACUCUAAUGUCUAGUGUUCUGCAUUAGUCAUAUGAACCUCUCCUCAUAGUAUUCCGUUGACGCCUUUCCGAGAGGUUGGACAGGUUUAAGGGUUUAAAUUUUAAACCUGGUCUGCACACCAAUGAAGGCCAAUGUUUAUGCAUAUGUUUGAAUAGAUUACUGUCCAGUAGAUGAAUCAGUGAAGUGAGAGCAUGUAGUAAUGGUAGGGUAGGUAUGAUUUUAUUUCAAGUUUUGUGCGGAACAUCCUAGCAAUUACUUAUGUGGUUAUAUAAUGAUAUAUUUAGGAUGGGCCUUCAGGUGUUGAGACCAGAAAAAUAGAAAACUGAAAUUUUAAUUGUAUUAAUUCCCUUGUUUCCAUUUUUUGGAAUUUCUUGCUUUUCUAAUAGGUGUUAUGCUUUCAAGGUCCCAAAUCCUUGUGAUGUUUUCUUCUAUUGAUUUACAGGUCCUUGCGGUUGUCAUUCCCAUGACUGUGCCAUUCGCGUUUGUACAGGGUGAGCUCUGUUAUGUUCGUCUAUUUACUCGGUGGUUACUAGAGACUAUAUUUCAUGUGCCCUGUCUUGGUUGAUAGUGUAUCUUACUCUUGCUUUCUUACCGUCGAGGAGAUGGAUAGAUUCUAGGCAUGUCCUUGGUCCUUGCAAAAGAGUUUUUUGCUGCCUUCAUUGCUUUAUUUGGUACCUUGCUCUUUUCCACUGUCGAUCAGAAGACAAAUUUGGCAUCAACACCUGUCCUUGCUCUUUGCAGAGGAGGAUUUUGUUCUUUUCUUCGAUGGAUGUACAUUUUGCUCAUCUGCUGACCAUUAUGUCUUCCCAACCUGCAGUAUUUCUCGGUUCGCUAUACAGAGAUGGAGCUUGCAGAACACAUUAAUUUACCGGUCGAUGGCAUGUGGGCUGAACUCGUGUGUGGAUGCGCAACGGGGCAAGUCCGUAUGAUGAAAGGUGUGGAGGGAAGAGCGACAAUAACUACGGGGUUGGUCAAAGAUUGAAAGAAAUCUCUUAUGUGUCUUCGGCUUCGACACUACACAUAGGAAGCCGUUGUUGAUAAUCCAAUCUUUGAAAAGGUUAGUUCAAGGUUCAUAACUCUGUUGUUAAUGGAGAAAAUGUUGUUUCAAGUGACUGAACAAACUACUCAUAGUAAUUUCAUGUGUUGUGGCGUAUGAAAUGUUGAACGCCAAGACGAUCAGGUGGAUCUAUC